GCCCCUCCCCUGAGGUGGAGCCCGUGCAGGUGCUCCGUCCUCGGGACGUUCUGGUGAGUCUGCAGCCUCUCGUCUGCCUGGGUCACCGUCUGGGCUCUGACUCAGGCCCCACCGGCCCCGCCAGCUCAGCAAAGACCAAGGAAAGGGAGGGAGAGAACUAGGAACUUAUUUUUCCAAGAAAAUAGGAAGACAAAGAAGGGAGGGGGAGAAGAGUGGGAGGCCUCGAUUCUCGCCCGGGACCUGCUGGCUCGGCUCCGAGGUAAGCAGCUCUUCGAGGAAGACUUCUCCGGGCUCCGGCGCGAGAUGAAGCUGCUCUGGGUCCUGCACGAGCAGGGGACACGGGGCGGGUGUGUCACUACAGCCGGUCUCACUGCUCUGCCUUCACGCCCCUGUCGUUACUGAGGGUAAGUCGGAGGCCGGUUGGUUUCCGUCCCUGUAGACCCGUCCCCUGGGCCCAGACGUCUGUGUAAUCUACCACCUGCUUCCUGCUCUUCUCGGCUCACCUGCGUCACUAACGCCCAGUGUGUUCUCUGCGCCCCCACCCCCCGCCCCCGUUUUUCUGACAAGGACCUUUCUUUAUGGGUUCCUUGCUGGACCCCCAGGUAUCACCCGUCUUUGAAUGGGUACGUUCUCUCCUCGCCUGCUUUCGUUGCUGCUGCAGACGGGUUCUUUUCUACACCAUGAAAAUUCCUCCGCAGUGAAACCUGUUUCUCAGGUCCCACCGGACGUCCGCCAGGGGUACCUCCACUUUCCUCAGGUGGGACGUCCCUGUCGUCUGCUCCGGGUCCGAAAUGACCUCCCCUCCCGCUGUCCCCUCGUUGUCGUCUGUCAUUGUCCUGCCGAUGACCAGUUUCUGGGGGGCGUCCAGGCACACGCCCCAUGGAUGGAACCCUUGGAGCCGGUGACUCCCAAUUUGUCUACGAAUCCCAGAGCGGCACGUCGUGCCAACGGAUCCGAUGUGCUUGAACUCAGGCGCCCAGACAGAAACCCGAAAGGAAGGGACCUUGAGAUGCGGUGGUGUUUACACCGCCCAAGGGAUCAUCUUCCGCAGCCCG
rnacentral:lncRNA from 1 species